GACUCUGCUCUCCUCGUUUGGAUUGACUCUGAUAUGAUCACUGUUUGUUUAUUUAUCCAGUCCCUCCAGGAAUUGGCGAUGUUACGAUGGCGCGAAUUCACGCGAAAUCAACCAAUCACCGCGACCUUGCAAUUUUAACCAAUCACCGCAACUUUACCGCAAUUUUGGCCCGCCUCCCGUGAGUUCCACCAAUCAUAGCAGUCUCCAGCGAAAACGUAAUGCACGUACGUCACCGAAUUCACUUCCUUGUUUAUGGUUUGAAGACGCAAACAUGUCCCAUUCUAAUGUCUCUCAUUUACCAACAAAAAUUACUACUGAAGUCUGUGCAGAACAAUUAAUUCCCUGAUGUUCUUCACCAAAGCGGAAGUAAACAGUUUUACACCCGUGCAAUGUUGUGGUGGAAUACAAAAAAAGAGAAAAAUCAUCGAUUGAUAAACACUUUUUUACCACGAAACACAUCAGGAGAAUGUCUGAAACGAGCGGACCACAGACCAGACAAAUGAACAUGAUGGAAACGGCUGCAUCCAGAUCUGUAGGAGCACUGAGAGGAUGAAGAGUGAAAGUAGCAGUUCCUCCUGAAGGUCAGUGAUUGCAGCAUCUGAGGGCCUCUUCAAAAGAAGACGUAGUUGAUGAAGGCGUUCUGGAGCAGGACCAGAAAGACCACGACCAAGCAGCCUUGAGAUCUUAGGCAGCGUCUCCCUCAGACCAAAGAACUACAGACUCUUCACAACCUGCUCAAACUCUUGGUACAGGACCUCACCACACGGGUCAAGAAGGUUUCCAUCUCAUUUCUACUCUGAAGCUCACCUUCUCCUGCUCAAACUGCUGACAAAUGUUUCUGCUGCUCUAAAGUCUGGUCUCCAGAACUUCCUAAAAACUCUCAAAGUCUCUGCUGCUGCAGGUUGCUUUGUAGAACUGUUGCAGAAAACCUCACUAAACCACAUGGAGGGGCCUCAAGAUAGUCGUCCAAAUGAAACCAUACAAAAACCAAACUAGCACAACCCAAACGCUAAAGUCUCCUGCAGCCUACCAGAGAAGUUCUGAGAACAGAGAAUCAGGACAGAAACUCUUACCUUCUGGACAACCAAUGCUGGUUCUCAAACAAGAAUACAGAAUGUGUCUGACCAAAAACCUCUGAAGACUCACUACAGCCAAGAUAAAGACACAACUCACCUGCACCAAAUCCACUAAUCACUGCACACAUUAUCACCAUGUGCUAACUGCGGCUAAAGAACCACCUUUACCAAGACAACUAUCCAGUACAAAGCCCUAAAACACACCAAAAAACACAUUAAAGACGAUUUUACUGCUGGAAGCUGCAAGCCAACGCCUAAAGAACAAACUAAGCAACGGAGCCAAACCCAGCUCAGUGGUGAAGAGAAACAGAGGAAAUGUUUGUCUGCAGCUAAACAAAGCAGGAAGACACUGAGCUGCUCAGGUGUUCCUGAUAAUACCAAUCAGCCACCUGGACAGCCAAUAGGAACACAGCUUCCUGGAAGUCCAGAGGGCUGGCUUAGUCAAGGAAAUUUAGUUUAAAGUUGAAGCAGAAAGUUAACAAAAAGUUGAAAACCACCUUCUGAUACCUGAAAUCUCUGAGUUUUCACACAAAGAACGCCUGAACAUGUCAAACUGGUUCCAUAGUAGAACCAUCAUUGUAAAAACGUCAUAGUAUGGUGUGUUGCUCAAAAAACAUUACGACCUGGCUGUCUUGGGUCGCUGAGGAGCAACACAAAAACAGGACAAAUGCUGGUUUCCAGGGGGUUAGGAGGAUAUUUAUUUGAAAGAGGAAGUUUACAACAACACGUGUGCAGAAAAUGUCAUCCAAAUUGUGACAAAAACGUCAUAGUUUAGUAUGUUGUCCAAAAUGUAACAAAAAUGUCAUAGUUUAGUAUGUCGUCCAAAAUGUAACAAAAUGUCAUAGUUUAGUAUGUGCUUCAAAAUAUGACAAAAACGUCAUAGUUUAGUAUGUGGUCCAAAAUGUGACAAAAAUGUCAUAGUUUAGUAUGUGGUCCAAAAUGUGACAAAAACUUCGUAAUUUAGUAUGUUGUGCAAAAUGUGACAAAAACGUCAUAGUUUAGUAUGUUGUCGAAGAUGUAAUAGUUUAGUAUGUCGUCCAAAAUGUGACAAAAACGUCAUAGUUUAGUAUGUGGUCCGAAAUGUGACAAAAACGUCAUAGUAUAGUAUGUGGUCCAAAAGGGGAAAAAUGUCAUAGUUUAGUAUGUCGUCCAAAAUGUCGCUAAAACAUCAUAGUUUAGUAUGUCAUCCAAAAUAUAGCAAAUGGGUGCCCAGGUAGCUCAGCUGGUUGAUAGGGUGACUCGUAAACAGGACUCUGUCAGACAUAGGUUCGAUUCCAGCUCAUAGCCCUUUACUGCAGGUCUUCCUCUUAGCUUACGUAUUGGUGAAAGAGUCCAAAAAAUAACUUUUAAAAAAACAUCAUUGGCUGUCUUCUUAAAUGUGGAAAAAAGUCAUAGUAUGUAGUCCAAAAUGUGGACAAAACGUCAGUUUAGUAUGUCGUCCAAAUUGUAUUAAAAAAACGUAAUAGUUUCUAUACUAUUCUAAACUAUGACAUUUCAGUCAACUGAGCAGCCUUGGCGGAGUACUGCACUCUCUGAGUGCUUUUCUAAUUUGUUUGUGUGUUUAUUUGUGGAAGAAUAUAGAAACACAUGAAAACAUUUUACAGCUUUUUUUUUUUAUCUUUCUUAAAUGGUUAGCUUAGCUUAGUUUAGCUUAAAUUAGCAUAAAGACUGGAGCUAUCGUCACUAUCUAAAGAAAAACAGUUUCAUUUAUAGAGAGGCAGCUUUAUACAGAUUUAUUAGUAAUAUGUGAAAUAUAAAUAAUGCUUUAGAGAUGCUUGAGGGCAGAUUUUUGUCCUCUUCUCAAAAGAACCAGGCUAGCUUUUAGUACCCUAUCAUUAGCAUUAGCAAAUGGCUACUAAAAGUGACGGCCAAACAGAUGACUACCAUUAUCAUUGUUAGGUUGUGGUCGUAGCGGUAUUAUUUCACCAGCACAGCCACCAUGAAGUUUUGAUUUUAUUGUAUUUUCUAGCAUGUAUUUUUGGCACUGUUCUUUUUUUCUAUCGGUCUUCAGAGAUGAAAGAUUAUUUAUCACAUCUUGGUUCAUUCAACAGAAGUGAAAUAAAUGGUAACUCUAGCGAAAUCUAAGAGAAAUCCAAGAGAAAAACACGCCUGUUUUCAAAUCCAAAGUCGUAGUUAGUCUGAGGGGCUUUCAAAGACUGAAGGCCAGUGUAUUAAAAAUCAAUCCGGUGUAUCUAUGGAUGUACAGAAACAUAUCACAGUAGUACUUCAGUACUGAGAAAAAGCUGUUUUUAUGACCUAAGGAGAAACUUUAUUGCAAGUGGGUGUUUGCAGUUCAUACACGACGGACAACACAGAUAUUAUCACUGGUGGAUAAUAAAAUAAUAAAAUCUAAAAUAUG